rnacentral:snRNA from 1 species
UGACGAAGAUGGUGACAUAAC